ACGGGAGGCAGCAGUGGGGAAUAUUGGGCAAUGGGCGCAAGCCUGACCCAGCGACGCCGCGUGAAGGAAGAAGGCCUUCGGGUUGUAAACUUCAGUCAACAGGGAAGAAACAAAUGACGGUACCUGUGGAGGAAGCCACGGCUAACUACGUGCCAGCAGCCGCGGUAAUACGUAGGUGGCGAGCGUUAUCCGGAUUUACUGGGUGUAAAGGGUGUGUAGGCGGGAUUGCAAGUCAGAUGUGAAAAUUAUGGGCUUAACUCAUAACCUGCAUUUGAAACUGUGAUUCUUGAGUGUCGGAGAGGUAAAUGGAAUUCCCAGUGUAGCGGUGAAAUGCGUAGAUAUUGGGAGGAACACCAGUGGCGAAGGCGGUUUACUGGACGACAACUGACGCUGAGACACGAAAGCGUGGGGAGCAAACAGGAUUAGAUACCCUGGUA
rnacentral:rRNA from 1 species